AGAGUUUGAUCCUGCCUUAGAUUGAACGCUGGCGGCAUGCCUUACACAUGCAAGUCCAUCGGUAACAGGUCUUCGGAUGCUGACGAGUGGCGAACGGGUGAGUAAUACAUCGGAACGUGCCCGAUCGUGGGGGAUAACGGAGCGAAAGCUUUGCUAAUACCGCAUACGAUCUACGGAUGAAAGCAGGGGACCGCAAGGCCUUGCGCGGACGGAGCGGCCGAUGGCAGAUUAGGUAGUUGGUGGGAUAAAAGCUUACCAAGCCGACGAUCUGUAGCUGGUCUGAGAGGACGACCAGCCACACUGGGACUGAGACACGGCCCAGACUCCUACGGGAGGCAGCAGUGGGGAAUUUUGGACAAUGGGCGAAAGCCUGAUCCAGCCAUGCCGCGUGCAGGAUGAAGGCCUUCGGGUUGUAAACUGCUUUUGUACGGAACGAAAAGACUCCUUCUAAUACAGGGGGUCCAUGACGGUACCGUAAGAAUAAGCACCGGCUAACUACGUGCCAGCAGCCGCGGUAAUACGUAGGGUGCAAGCGUUAAUCGGAAUUACUGGGCGUAAAGCGUGCGCAGGCGGUUAUGUAAGACAGAUGUGAAAUCCCCGGGCUCAACCUGGGAACUGCAUUUGUGACUGCAUAGCUAGAGUACGGUAGAGGGGGAU
rnacentral:rRNA from 1 species